AUUGAACGCUGGCGGAAUGCUUUACACAUGCAAGUCGAGCGGCAGCACGGGGGCAACCCUGGUGGCGAGCGGCGAACGGGUGAGUAAUACAUCGGAACAUGCCCAGUCGUGGGGGAUAACACUUCGAAAGAAGUGCUAAUACCGCAUACGUCCUGAGGGAGAAAGCGGGGGAUCUUCGGACCUUGCGCGAUUGGAGUGGCCGAUGUCAGAUUAGCUAGUUGGUGGGGUAAAGGCCUACCAAGGCAACGAUCUGUAGCUGGUCUGAGAGGGUGAUCAGCCACACUGGGACUGAGACACGGCCCAGACUCCUACGGGAGGCAGCAGUGGGGAAUUUUGGACAAUGGGGGCAACCCUGAUCCAGCCAUUCCGCGUGAGUGAAGAAGGCCUUCGGGUUGUAAAGCUCUUUCGGCAGGAACGAAACGGCGAGCUCUAACAUAGCUUGCUAAUGACGGUACCUGAAGAAGAAGCACCGGCUAACUACGUGCCAGCCGCCGCGGUAACAC
rnacentral:rRNA from 1 species